rnacentral:rRNA from 1 species
AAUGAACGUUAGCGGCAUGGAUUAGGCGUGCAAGUCGAGCGAGAAGAGUUUUGAAGCUUGCUUUAGAACUCGGACAGCGGCGAAAGGGAGAGUAACGCGUAGUUAUGUGCCCUAGGGUCCGGAAUAGCCACGGGAAACUGUGGGUAAUGCCGGAUAAUAUCCCCGGAUCAAAGGUGUGAUUCCGCCCUAGGAGCAGACUGCGUCCUACUAGCUAGUUGGUGGGGUAAUGGCCCACCAAGGCAAUGAUGGGUAGCGGGUGUGAGAGCAUGACCCGUCUCACUGGGACUGAGACACUGCCCAGACACCUACGGGUGGCUGCAGUCGAGAAUCUUCGGCAAUGGGCGAAAGCCUGACCGAGCGAUGCCGCGUGCGGGAUGAAGGCCCUCGGGUUGUAAACCGCUGUCGUAGGGGAGGAAGGUUCCGUGAAGAGCGGGACUUGACCUAUCCUAGGAGGAAGUACGGGCUAAGUUCGUGCCAGCCGCCGCAGUAA